UACGUAGGGGGCAAGCGUUGUCCGGAUUCAUUGGGCGUAAAGAGCUCGUAGGCGGCUUAGCAAGUCGGGUGUGAAAACUCCAGGCUCAACCUGGAGACGCCACCCGAUACUGCUAUGGCUAGAGUCCGGUAGGGGACCACGGAAUUCCUGGUGUAGCGGUGAAAUGCGCAGAUAUCAGGAAGAACACCCGUGGCUAAGGCGGCUCUCUAGUACGGUACUGACGCUGAGACGCGAAAGCGUGGGGAGCGAACAGG
rnacentral:rRNA from 1 species